rnacentral:misc_RNA from 1 species
AAGUCGUAACAAGGUUUCCGUAGGUGAACCUGCGGAAGGAUCAUCAUUGAAUGUUUUCCAAGCCGUCUCUGACAACCCCCCUUUUGGAGGGGGGCCACAACGGCCAGACCUGACUUGGGUCUGAACGCUUCUUGAGCAAAAUCUGCUUCUCUUGCGCGCCUUCUGGCGCACGAAUCCUCGAAAAGCACAACUUUUGACAACGGAUCUCUUGGCUCUC